rnacentral:pre_miRNA from 1 species
AGAGUGGGGAUGCAGCCAAGAAUGACUUGCCAACAUGAAUGUAUACCUUAUUUUCCUUGUAUUUGGUAUCACUGGUUGUUGGCAGGUUGUUCUUGACUACAUCUUGCUCUCU